rnacentral:rRNA from 1 species
UACGGAGGGUGCAAGCGUUAUCCGGAUUCCCUGGGUUUAAAGGGUGCGUAGGUGGGUAAGUAAGUCAGUGGUGAAAUCUCCGGGCUUAACCCGGAAACUGCCAUUGAUACUAUUUGUCUUGAAUACUGUGGAGGUCAGCGGAAUAUGUCAUGUAGCGGUGAAAUGCUUAGAUAUGACAUAGAACACCAAUUGCGAAGGCAGCUGGCUACACAAAUAUUGACACUGAGGCACGAAAGCGUGGGGAUCAAACAGG